rnacentral:rRNA from 1 species
UACGUAGGGCGCAAGCGUUGUCCGGAAUUAUUGGGCGUAAAGAGCUCGUAGGCGGUUUGUCGCGUCUGCUGUGAAAACCUAAGGCUCAACCCCGGACUUGCAGUGGGUACGGGCAGACUAGAGUGUGGUAGGGGAGACUGGAAUUCCUGGUGUAGCGGUGGAAUGCGCAGAUAUCAGGAGGAACACCGAUGGCGAAGGCAGGUCUCUGGGCCACUACUGACGCUGAGAAGCGAAAGCAUGGGGAGCGAACAGG